rnacentral:rRNA from 1 species
AUGGACCCGCCGCCGCCGCCGCCGGCCUCCAUCCCCGUCCCCGACGACCUCCUGGAGGAGAUCUUCGUCCGCUUGCCCACCCCGGACGCGGUCGCCCGCGCCUCCGCCGCCUGCACCUCCUUCCGCAGCGUCAUCAAAGGCCGCUCUUUCCGCCGCCGCUUCCGCGCGAUGCACGGGCCUCCCCUCCUCGGCUUCAUGGACGCGGCAGGAUUCCACCCGGCCCAGGCGCCGCACCCCUCCGCCCCGCUAGCUGGAGCCCUCGCCCCCUGCGCCGCCGAUUUCUCCUUCGUCCCGGCAGUCGUUUCUUCUGCCUCCUACGUCCGGCCCGCCGUCCAAGAAGACGACGGGGAAGGCCCCCGCUGGCGCCCCUGCGACGUCCGCGACGGCCGCGUGCUCCUCGAUUGGAUCUCCUUCUACCCCCGUUCCGUCCACAUGUGGAGCUACUGCGAAGGCUGUGCCCGCCGUGAGGUAAGCAUCCUCAUGGACUCCAGGGAGCCCGUUAACCUCAACAUCUGUGCCCGCCCGACGUGGACCAAACGGGAGCGCUGCAACGCUGCCGACUUCCACCUCGCCGUCUGUGACCCCCUGUCCAUCAGAUACGUGCUGCUUCCAACCAUACCCGAGGACCUCGCCUCCCAGCCACAGGAUCUCCUUCAGGAAUUCCAGCCUGUGCUUGCUCCCUGCACCGGCGACGACAGCGAGGAAGUGCCCUUCAAGGUGAUAUGCAUAGCAAGAUACCAAACGAAGCUCGUCCUCUUUGUAUUCCCAUCCACAGCUAGGCAAUGGUCUAUGGUCGAGUCCCCCAUUUUCCCUUCUUUGGAGCACAUGUCUUGUUUGUACGACAUGUCCUCUUUUGACUAUGUGCGCGGCUCUUUCUACUGGACAGAUCGUCAUGAUUGGAGUGAACAUUUGAUGGUGCUGGACACGCGCACUUUGAGGUUUUCCACUGUUGACCUUCUCACCGGUUACCAUAUGGAGCUCAGAAGUCUGCCUGGCCAGAGCUUUGAUGAUCGUCGCCCAAAUGCUGUUGUUCUGGGCCGAGAAGGAGCCCUUGAGAUGUUUUCUCUUGUCUGUCAACACGGGGCCUUUGCUCUCUACCAUACCUCUCUGCAGAAUAAUUCACAGGAAUGGAAGCUAGAGAAGAUUAUACAGCUGCCUGGGCAGUAUCGUGACUAUUCCAUCUCCACAAUUGGUGCAGCCGAGGGAUUCUUGUUCUUCCGGGGCGCUCUAGGAGGUCUGGGCAGUAUUGAGAAUGUGGAUUGUUACUCAAUGGAGGUCAAGACAUAUGGAAUUACCAAAGUCUGUACAAAGACGGAGAAGUUCCUCAAUCGCAGAUCUGCUCUCCCAUACUUUAGCUUCCCACCACUGUUAUCGGAACCAACUAUCUGA